UACGUAGGGUGCAAGCGUUAAUCGGAAUUACUGGGCGUAAAGCGUGCGCAGGCGGUUAUGUAAGACAGGUGUGAAAUCCCCGGGCUUAACCUGGGAACUGCAUUUGUGACUGCAUAGCUAGAGUACGGUAGAGGGGGAUGGAAUUCCGCGUGUAGCAGUGAAAUGCGCAGAUAUGCGGAGGAACACCGAUGGCGAAGGCAAUCCCCUGGACCUGUACUGACGCUCAUGCACGAAAGCGUGGGGAGCAAACAGG
rnacentral:rRNA from 1 species